AAUUGGAAAAUAAAAGGAGAAAGAAAUUAAAAGAAAAAGGAAAAAUAAAAUUUCCUAAUUGAGACUCUCCAAGGAAACACGAGUGUAUAGCCUGCAAAUCCUAGCUAUUUUAGGGAGCUUUGUCUUUCUCUCUCAUUUCUCCUUCUCUUCUCUUCUCUUCUCUUCUCUUUUCGAAGCUUCUCGACUGCUUACAUAAAAUUCUGAAUCCCAAAUUCGGGUUAGGGUUCCAAGAAACUUGUAAAUAUUAAGUGAUUCAUAUUCAAUGGAACAGGUAGCAGUUGGAAGCUUACUUUAGGGUUUUUAGUUCUCUGUGGCGGCCGGUUGGUGAGUUGAGGUGACGGUGAGGUUUGGUUUUGUAUGGCGGCGGCGAAUCCACAGCCACUGCAGGCGCGUCCUUAUGAAGAACACGUUCGAGAGCCGAUACGGAUCGAGGACGACGACGGUGAGUAUGAUGACGGUGACGCAAUGGAUGACGUGGAUGAGGCGCAUAUGAAUUCUGGUGUUAACGUGGCGGAGCAUCACGCCGGAGUUGGAGUUGGAGGUGGAGCUGGUCUGGUUAUGGCGUCGAGGACCAGUGAACUUACUCUUUCAUUUGAAGGGGAGGUUUAUGUUUUCCCUGCUGUUACUCCUGAGAAGGUCCAAGCAGUGCUCUUGCUUCUGGGAGGACGAGACAUACCCACUGCCGUACCUACCAUUGAAGUACCAUACGAACAAAAUAACAGAGUCAUAGGUGACACCCCAAAGCGUUCAAAUCUUUCAAGAAGAAUAGCCUCCCUUGUUAGAUUUCGUGAGAAACGGAAGGAGAGAUGUUUCGAUAAGAAAAUAAGAUACACUGUCCGAAAAGAGGUUGCACAGAGGAUGCACCGCAAAAAUGGGCAAUUUGCAUCCUUGAAAGAAAGUUCGGGUGGUUCAAAUUGGGACUCUGCGCAGAGUUGCCUACAGGACGGCACUCCUCGUACUGAAACUGUUCUCCGAAGAUGCCAACAUUGUGGUGUAAGUGAAAAUAAUACUCCUGCAAUGCGUCGUGGGCCAGCUGGACCAAGGACAUUAUGUAAUGCUUGUGGCCUAAUGUGGGCGAAUAAGGGAACAUUAAGGGAUCUUAGCAAAGGAGGAAGGAAUGUUUCAAUAGACCAAAUUGAACCUGUAUGUAUCAUCACAGAGGAGCAACUUUUUGAAACCCCUGUUGAUAUCAAGCCUUCUAUAAUGGAAGGAGAAUACUCAGGCAACCAGGAUGAACAUGGGACGCCUGAAGAUCCUUCUAAAGCUGUAACUGAAGGAUCCAACAACCCUUCUGUCAAUCCAGUAGUAGUAUGAUUCGAAUCCCAGCCUUAACAUAUGGAGGCAAUGUUUUGCAAGAAGCUACUGAAGAUCUUACUGGCACUUUGCCAAUGGGGGUUGUCCACUCUUCAGCAGAUGAUGAUGAUGAUGAGCAGGGAUCACUGGUUGAGCUUGCUAAUCCUUCAGAUACAGAAUUGGAUAUUCCUUCUAAUUUUGAAUAGAAAGGGACAAGUUGCAUCUCUCCACCACUGUUGCGAGAGUUGAGCUGUAAAUGGGUACACUUACUUUACUGCAUCUUGAUUGCAUUGCAGAGGGCAAAGUUACUGAUACCUCUUAAGGAGGGGGUAAUUAGCAAAUUGAAUUGUAACUAAAAACAGGCAUUGCGUUGGGUCCCCUAGUACAAUCAUCAAAUGGUGGGAGAAGAUGUGAUGCUGCUUUCAGCUAACACCAAAAUAUCAGGCGAUACUCCUUGUUGAUAUUAGUUCUGGAUACUGUUUGUGUAUCAUUUGUUAGCAGAUAUGCUUGAGUCAGUUUACCAGUCUGUAUGUGAUUAAUUUCUUAGGCGGUUUACGUUACGUGAUUGCAAUUUGCUUCAAUUGUCAUUUUUAACACUAUGACUGAAAUAAAUGUAUUUGUUACCCUUUCUGAUCACUAA